AGAGCCCAGAGAAGCGGCGCGCGGCCAGGAGCCCCCGCUCCGCCACUGCCGUGCCUGCCUCCCGCAGCUGUCUGCCAUGCGCUCGCCGGGGCAGGGGCGCCCGGAGAGCGGCGGGAGCUGGGCCUGAGCCCGGGAACGCGCCUGAUCGGGGCGGAGGAGCCGCUGUCCCCACAGCCGCCCCACCCGCGCCGCUGCCUCGCUGGGGCCCGGGCCCCCUUCCUGGUCCGAAACCCCAGAGAGAUUGGUGAUGGUGAUUUCCCAGGAAGACGUGGUGUGCUCCAACUUCUGUGACAGUGAGCAACGGGACCAAUGGAUGUCCGGAUGCUGGCAAUGAGUAGGCCUUCCCUACGCUGGGUGGCGUCCACACCCUUUGGCUUCCAUUGCCUGGGUCUCCUGGAGGACAUGCUCUGGAGUCAGAAGACAGCAAAAAGAGAAGCAGAAGUCCCGGUGGCAAGAGUCCAAAGAUUGUCCUGUGAAGUGAAGUAUGAUCGGACAGCCUCUUUUCAGCUUUUAUGAAAAUGGAGACAGAGGAAUUGUGGCUCUUGCCAAGGUCACAGGAUUGGAACACAGAGCCAAGCCACCCCAGGACAUGCAAGAGCCUCAGAAGGGAAAAAGCCCAGCAGGAAGGGAGAACAAGUAGCCUCUGUUCUGAGGUUGUAACAGCCAGGGACCAGGAUGGAGGAGGAGGACUCCGUAAUCCUGCCCAUCUGGGACUUGGCAGGGGACCUGGGAAAAUGUACCCCAAUCCAUCCCUCAAGGGCCUUUGCCUUUGGCCCAUUGGCCUAGCAUCUCCUUCUUCACUAUGUCUGUUCUUGUCAGAUCUGUUUGGGUCUGAGGUGCAUGGAACAUUCUGGGUAGGCCUCCAGCAAACGGAAGCUCUUCACCGUGUUUCCAGCCUAGGACCAAGAGCAGCACACUGGCAAAGUUGCCAAAGCAAGGGACUCCAGCCUGCUAGGAGUUAACGACUCCCUCUCCCCAGCUGUCCUCCCCUUGGUGCUCCUCUUCCUCCCUCCUCCUGCUCACAGCAGGCAGGGCCUGGACCCGGGAGCCAUGCUGCUGUGCUGUUGCCAGGGGAGUCCGGAGGCAGAUCUGAGCUAUGCAGGGAAAAGGCCCGGCCUGUCAAAGUGUCUGAGAUGAACCGCCGCCGUCCCUGUGCAGCUGGGCUCAGACGUGUCUCAGCUCUUGUUCUGUGCCUGAGAAUGGCGAAACCCAGUGAGGUUCAAGGGCAAACUCGCUAUUCAUUAGUCAGGGGUUCUUGACGUCCCGUCUCUCCCAGGGAUGGGUUCCCCCCCUUCCUCUUUCUCCCCCUCCUAUGACACAUUCCUGGGUGCCUUUGGUGAGGACUGCACACCCUCCUCCUGCCUAGCCCCCUUUCCAAGGGCCUCUGAAUAAACUCCCCCCAAGGAGACCAGGCAGGGUAGAGACAAUGGCUGCAGGAAAUCAUUCAGGCGGGACAUGCUGGCCUGCCCUCCACCCAGUCCCCCUGUGGGCCCCACUCCCUUCUGAUUCAGGGCACCCUUGGGCCCCUAGCCUAUACAGGCCUGGAUAGGAAGAAGCCACUAGGAACAACCCUGAGGACAUCAUGUUAGUCCAGUGCCAUUCUCCGCUGGCUCUGUGGGUGCCUUUGUGGCCUGCACCAACUGGCAGGCUAAUUUUGUGGUUUCUGUACCAUCACAUGCCUAUUUCAAGACACUCUCAAGCACUGUCAGUUGGGGAGUGUAAAUUCUACAAUAUUUUCUGAAAUGUGGCAAUAUCAAAAUGUAAAAGGCAAAUAUACUUGGUCACAAAAAUGGCACUGUUUACUCUGUGGGCAUAUUUGUAAAAGUUCCCAAAGAAUUACAUACAAGGA
rnacentral:lncRNA from 1 species